CCUCCAUGACAAGGUUCGGACCUUCAACCGUGCGAUUUGAAACUGGGCGCCUUAUCCAUUAGGCUACACGGAU